AGCCUACGGGAGGCAGCAGUGGGGAAUAUUGCACAAUGGGGGAAACCCUGAUGCAGCAACGCCGCGUGAGUGAUGACGGCCUUCGGGUUGUAAAGCUCUGUCUUCAGGGACGAUAAUGACGGUACCUGAGGAGGAAGCCACGGCUAACGACGCGCCAGCAGCCGCGGUAAUACGUAGGGGGCGAGCGUUGUCCGGAUUUACUGGGCGUAAAGGGAGCGUAGGCGGACUUUUAAGUGAGAUGUGAAAUACUCGGGCUCAACUUGAGAGCUGCAUUUCAAACUGGAAGUCUUGAGGGCAGUAGAGGG
rnacentral:rRNA from 1 species